rnacentral:rRNA from 1 species
GACGAACGCUGGCGGCGUGCUUAACACAUGCAAGUCGAGCGGAGCGGCGAACGGGUGAGUAACGCGUGAGUACCUGCCCCCCUCUCUGGGAUAACAGUUGGAAACGGCUGCUAAUACCGGAUAGUGGGGGAUGACUCGCGUCCUAUCAGCCUGUUGGUGGGGUAGUGGCCUACCAAGGCGACGACGGGUACCCGGCCUGAGAGGGCGAGCGGCCACAUUGGGCUGAGAUACUGACCGAAAGCCAACAGGAGGCAGCAGUGAGGAGUAUUGCACAAUGGGGGAAACCCUGAUGCAGCAACGCCGGGUGCGGGAUGACGGCCUUCGGGUUGUAAACCGCUUUCAGCAAUGACGCGGUAGUGGCAGAAGAAGCACCGGCUAACUACGUGCCAGCAGCCGCGGUAAUUC